rnacentral:tRNA from 1 species
GGGGCGAUAGCUCAGUAGGGAGAGCGCCUCUCCGCAAGGGGACGAGAACGGCGGUUCGAGUCCGUCUCGCUCCA